AGUGAACGCUGGCGGCGUGCCUAACACAUGCAAGUCGAGCGAAGUACCUGCUCCCGCAAGGGAGUAAGGGCUUAGCGGCAGACGGGUGAGUAACACGUAGACAAUCUACCUUCCAGAGGGGGAUAGCCCGCCGAAAGGCGGGGUAAUACCGCGUACGAUCAGGAUCCGGCAUCGGGAUCUGAUGGAACAUCCGCAAGGAUGGCUGGAAGAGGAGUCUGCGGCCUAUCAGCUAGUUGGCGGGGUAACGGCCCACCAAGGCAACGACGGGUAUCCGACCUGAAAGGGUGACCGGACUCACUGACACUGAGACACGGGUCAGACUCCUACGGGAGGCAGCAGUGAGGAAUUUUGGACAAUGGGGGAAACCCUGAUCCAGCGACGCCGCGUGAAGGAUGAAGGUCUUCGGAUUGUAAACUUCUUUUGCCUGGGAAUAACUCCCCGUGGAAACACGGGGAAUGAAUGUACCAGGCGAAUAAGCCACGGCUAACUUCGUGCCAGCAGCCGCGGUAAUACGGAA
rnacentral:rRNA from 1 species